UUUUGAAUUAAAGGUUCUCUGUU
rnacentral:snRNA from 1 species